GACGAACGCUGGCGGCGUGCUUAAAAAAUGAAAGUCGAACGGAAAGGCCCUGCUUUUGGGGGGUGCGCGAGUGGCGAACGGGUGAGUAACACGUGAGUAACCUGCCCUUGACUUUGGGAUAACUUCAGGAAACUGGGGCUAAUACCGGAGAGGAGCUCCUGCUGCAUGGUGGGGGUUGGAAAGUUUCGGCGGUUGGGGAUGGACUCGCGGCUUAUCAGCUUGUUGGUGGGGUAGUGGCUUACCAAGGCUUUGACGGUGAGCCGGCCUGAGAGGGUGACCGGCCACAUUGGGACUGAGAUACGGCCCAGACUCCUACGGGAGGCAGCAGUGGGGAAUAUUGCACAAUGGGCGGAAGCCUGAUGCAGCAACGCCGCGUGCGGGAUGCCGGCCUUCGGGUUGUAAACCGCUUUCGCCUGUGACGAAGCGUGAGUGACGGUAAUGGGUAAAGAAGCACCGGCUCCCUACGUC
rnacentral:rRNA from 1 species